rnacentral:rRNA from 1 species
AAUGAACGUUGGCGGCGUGGAUUAGGCAUGCAAGUCGUGCGAUAACCGUAGCAAUACGGGGAAAGCGGCGAAAGGGAGAGUAACACGUGGAUACUUACCCUCGGGACCGGGAUAGCCACGGGAAACUGUGGGUAAUACCGGAUAACAUCUCCGGAUCAAAGGUGUGAUUCCGCCUGAGGAUAGGUCCGCGUCCUAUUAGCUAGUUGGUGAGGUAAUGGCUCACCAAGGCGAGGAUGGGUAUGGGGUGUGAGAGCAUGCCCCCACUCACUGGGACUGAGACACUGCCCAGACACCUACGGGUGGCAG